rnacentral:rRNA from 1 species
GGGCAGGUUGAAGGUUGGGUAACACUAACUGGAGGACCGAACCGACUAAUGUUGAAAAAUUAGCGGAUGACUUGUGGCUGGGGGUGAAAGGCCAAUCAAACCGGGAGAUAGCUGGUUCUCCCCGAAAGCUAUUUAGGUAGCGCCUCGUGAAUUCAUCUCCGGGGGUAGAGCACUGUUUCGGCAAGGGGGUCAUCCCGACUUACCAACCCGAUGCAAACUGCGAAUACCGGAGAAUGUUAUCACGGGAGACACACGGCGGGUGCUAACGUCCGUCGUGAAGAGGGAAACAACCCAGACCGCCAGCUAAGGUCCCAAAGUCAUGGUUAAGUGGGAAACGAUGUGGGAAGGCCCAGACAGCCAGGAUGUUGGCUUAGAAGCAGCCAUCAUUUAAAGAAAGCGUAAUAGCUCACUGGUCGAGUCGGCCUGCGCGGAAGAUGUAACGGGGCUAAACCAUGCACCGAAGCUGCGGCAGCGACGCUUAUGCGUUGUUGGGUAGGGGAGCGUUCUGUAAGCCUGCGAAGGUGUGCUGUGAGGCAUGCUGGAGGUAUCAGAAGUGCGAAUGCUGACAUAAGUAACGAUAAAGCGGGUGAAAAGCCCGCUCGCCGGAAGACCAAGGGUUCCUGUCCAACGUUAAUCGGGGCAGGGUGAGUCGACCCCUAAGGCGAGGCCGAAAGGCGUAGUCGAUGGGAAACAGGUUAAUAUUCCUGUACUUGGUGUUACUGCGAAGGGGGGACGGAGAAGGCUAUGUUGGCCGGGCGACGGUUGUCCCGGUUUAAGCGUGUAGGCUGGUUUUCCAGGCAAAUCCGGAAAAUCAAGGCUGAGGCGUGAUGACGAGGCACUACGGUGCUGAAGCAACAAAUGCCCUGCUUCCAGGAAAAGCCUCUAAGCAUCAGGUAACAUCAAAUCGUACCCCAAACCGACACAGGUGGUCAGGUAGAGAAUACCAAGGCGCUUGAGAGAACUCGGGUGAAGGAACUAGGCAAAAUGGUGCCGUAACUUCGGGAGAAGGCACGCUGAUAUGUAGGUGAGGUCCCUCGCGGAUGGAGCUGAAAUCAGUCGAAGAUACCAGCUGGCUGCAACUGUUUAUUAAAAACACAGCACUGUGCAAACACGAAAGUGGACGUAUACGGUGUGACGCCUGCCCGGUGCCGGAAGGUUAAUUGAUGGGGUUAGCGGUAACGCGAAGCUCUUGAUCGAAGCCCCGGUAAACGGCGGCCGUAACUAUAACGGUCCUAAGGUAGCGAAAUUCCUUGUCGGGUAAGUUCCGACCUGCACGAAUGGCGUAAUGAUGGCCAGGCUGUCUCCACCCGAGACUCAGUGAAAUUGAACUCGCUGUGAAGAUGCAGUGUACCCGCGGCAAGACGGAAAGACCCCGUGAACCUUUAC